rfam:Chlorocebus sabaeus isolate 1994-021 chromosome 29, whole genome shotgun sequence.
GCCGGGUGCGGUGGCUCAAGCCUGUAAUCCCAGCACUUUGGGAGGCCGAGACGGGUGGAUCACGAGGUCAGGAGAUCAAGACCAUCCUGGCUAACCCAGUGAAACCCCUUCUCUACUAAAAAAUACAAAAAUCUCUCCGGGCGAGGNNNNNNNNNNCCUCGCCCGGAGAGAUUUUUGUAUUUUUUAGUAGAGAAGGGGUUUCACUGGGUUAGCCAGGCUGGUCUUGAACUCCUGACCUCGUGAUCCACCUGCCUCGGC